CAGAAAUGGAACACCGGGGACAAAGGGUAAUCCAGGCAGUCAAGGACCACCUGGAAAAAUGGGUCCAAAAGGUCCAAAAGGCACAACUGCUAUGACUACCUGUCAACUUGUGAA